UACGGGGGGCGCAAGCGUUGUUCGGAUUUACUGGGCGUAAAGGGCGCGUAGGCGGUCAGCACAAGUCAGUUGUGAAAUCUCCGGGCUUAACUCGGAAAGGUCAACUGAUACUGUGCGACUAGAGUGCAGAAGGGGCAACUGGAAUUCUCGGUGUAGCGGUGAAAUGCGUAGAUAUCUGGAGGAACACCCGUGGCGAAGGCGGCUCUCUGGGACGGUACUGACGCUGAGACGCGAAAGCGUGGGGAGCGAACAGG
rnacentral:rRNA from 1 species